rnacentral:rRNA from 1 species
UACGAAGGGGGGCUAGCGUUGUUCGGAAUUACUGGGCGUAAAGGGCGCGUAGGCGGCUUCGAUAGUCGGGUGUGAAAUGCCUGGGCUCAACCCAGGAACUGCACUCGAAACUCCGAGGCUAGAGUGUGGGAGAGGAUAGUGGAAUUCCCAGUGUAGAGGUGAAAUUCGUAGAUAUUGGGAAGAACACCGGUGGCGAAGGCGGCUAUCUGGACCACAACUGACGCUGAGGCGCGAAAGCUGGGGAGCAAACAGG